AUUAUUGUCAGCUAAAUAAGCUAAUGGGUUCAUACCUCAUAAAUGGAUAAAAUUUUAGCUCAAAGAGU
rnacentral:tRNA from 1 species